rnacentral:rRNA from 1 species
CACGUAGGGUGCGAGCGUUGUCCGGCAUUAUUGGGCGUAAAGGGCGCGCAGGCGGCCCGGCAAGUCGGAUGUGAAAACUCGGGGCUCAACCCCGAGCGUGCACCCGAUACUGCCGGGCUUGAGGCAGGUAGGGGAGAUCGGAAUUCCUGGUGUAGCGGUGAAAUGCGCAGAUAUCAGGAGGAACACCGAUGGCGAAGGCAGGGCUCUGGGCCACUACUGACGCUGAGAAGCGAAAGCAUGGGGAGCGAACAGG